rnacentral:tRNA from 1 species
CGAAACGUAGCUUAACUUAAAGCAUUUCGCUUACACCGAAAAAAUAUCCGUGAAAACCUGAUCGUUUCGAG